UGGGGGGAGGGAAUUUGGGGUGGGAACUCUUUGGGUGGGAACUUGGGGUGGGAACUCUUGGGGCACUGGGAUCUUUCUGAGGUUGGAAAUGAAAUGGCUGUACUCUGAUGUUGUUGGGGUGGGAAUUUGGGGGGUGGGGAACUGCUGGGGCGAGAAAUGGCUGCCGUGGGAGAUGGUUGGCAUCAAAAAUGAUUGGACUCCGUAACUGCUGGCAUUGAAGAUGGGGGGAGGGGGAGGGAAUUCUGUGGGGUGGCAAUUCUGGGGGAGAAAUUGUACUCUGAUCACGUUACACUCCCAAGUUGUUGGAAUUUGGAGGAAGGAAUUGUUGGGGUGGGAAUGUGGGGGGCUGGGAGGUAUUUUGCAGAGGGAGG
ensembl:lncRNA